AUUAAUAUCCAAAACGUUAACAGGUUAGUGUCUGCUCAGCAGGUGGAUGAACAUGUAAUGGAGUUGCAGCAUCAGUCGCUGACCAAGGAAUUACUGGGGAAGUUGGUGGUAGAGGGAGGCUAUUGACAUGUCACAGGAAGAUGCUCAAAAAUGUAGAGCACAUGGAGAAGAUCUCUAUGCUGGCUUUCCAUCCAGUUAAGAUGCACAGCUGCUAUGAGAAGGUGGUGAACCUGAGCCUUGAGGGUCUGCAUCAACAGUUUGACCAAAUGGACAAUGCUGUGUAGAUGUUUGAGCAGAUCCUUCAUCAGAGUCUCGAGUCUCAGGGUACAGAGGAGCUGUGUAAGAUCAUCCAGCACUGCCAGGACAGAGUCAUUAAGGUAAUACCCAAAGAAAACAGGCUUGUGCAUCAAAUUCUUGCAUAACAUCCACAUUAAUAUCUCAUAAUAUUACAUCUGGCAUACUCCAGCCCUGGGAGUGAAACUUUUGGUCUGGCCUUGUUUUAGUGUAAAAGAAAAUUCAGGGUUUUGUUUCACUUCAGAUGAGCACAAAUUAAGACGUCAGGAAACGUAAGUGACUGCCACUGCCUGUGUCACUCCUACACAAGGUGUAGCUAUUGUAAAACAAGAUGUGAGUCAGUAUAUGAAAUCAGUGUUUUUCUCUUUCUCGUUCUUAAAUAUGAUGUCAUCAUCCCAGUUUCUUGAAUGUCUAAUGAACUAAACAUCAUUUAGGGAGAUAACCACGUCCUGUGCCAAAUUAAUAAAAUGCACAUGGAAAGAGUGACACCACUAUUGUUCAUGAAAGAUU